GACGAACGCUGGCGGCGUGCUUAACACAUGCAAGUCGAACGGAAAGGCCCUGCUUUUGUGGGGUGCUCGAGUGGCGAACGGGUGAGUAACACGUGAGUAACCUGCCCUUGACUUUGGGAUAACUUCAGGAAACUGGGGCUAAUACCGGAUAGGAGCUCCUGCUGCAUGGUGGGGGUUGGAAAGUUUCGGCGGUUGGGGAUGGACUCGCGGCUUAUCAGCUUGUUGGUGGGGUAGUGGCUUACCAAGGCUUUGACGGGUAGCCGGCCUGAGAGGGUGACCGGCCACAUGGGGACUGAGGUACGGCCCAGACUCCUACGGGAGGCAGAAGUGGGGAAUAUUGCACAAUGGGCGGAAGCCUGAUGCAGCAACGCCGCAUGCGGGAUGACGGCCUUCGGGUUGUAAACCGCUUUCGCCUGUGACGAAGCGUGAGUGACGGUAAUGGGUAAAGAAGCACCGGCUAACUACGUG
rnacentral:rRNA from 1 species